CCUACGGGGGGCAGCAGUAGGGAAUCUUUCACAAUGGGCGAAAGCCUGAUGGAGCAACGCCGCGUGCAGGAUGAAGGCCUUCGGGUUGUAAACUGCUUUUAUAAGCGAGAAAUAUGAUGGUAACUUAUGAAUAAGGAUCGGCUAACUACGUGCCAGCAGCCGCGGUCAUACGUAGGAUCCGAGCAUUAUCCGGAGUGACUGAGUGUAAAGAGUUGCGUAGGUGGCAUAAUAAGUAGCUAGUGAAAUCUGGUGGCUCAACCAUUCAGACUAUUAGCUAAACUGUUAAGCUCGAGACCGUUAGGGGUAACUGGAAUUUCUAGUGUAGGAGUGAAAUCCGUAGAUAUUAGAAGGAACACCAAUAGCGUAGGCAGGUUGCUGGGACGGUUCUGACACUAAGGCACGAAAGCGUAGGGAGCAAACGGGAUUAGAUACCCCAGUAGUC
rnacentral:rRNA from 1 species